GACGAACGCUGGCGGCGUGCCUAAUACAUGCAAGUCGAACGCUGAAACUCAGAUCUUGUUGCGCGGAUGAGUGGCGCACGGGUGAGUAACACGCGUGUAACCUGCCUCUAUCUUUCUGAUAACGCCCGGAGACGCGUGCUCUUACUCGAUAUUAUAUGGUCUACCGCUGGGUGCUGGUGGAAAGGGCUUUUUUGCUGUGAGUUGUGCUCGCGGCCUCUCAGCUUGUUGGUGGGGUAAUGGCGUAACAAGGCAACGACGCUUAGCCGACCUGAGAGGGUGAGAGGGUACACUGGAACUGAGAGACGGUCCAGCCGCCUACGGGAGGCAGGAGUAGGGAAGUUUCGACAAUGGGAGAAAGCCUGAAGGAGCAAUGCAGCGUGAGCGAUGAAGGUCUUCGGAUCGUAAAACUCUGUUAUUAGGGAAGAAAAAAUGAGGAAGUAACUAUGGAUGUCGUGACGGUAGCUAAUCAGAAAGCCACGGCUAACUACGUG
rnacentral:rRNA from 1 species